AGAGUUUGAUCAUGGCUCAGAGCGAACGCUGGCGGCAGGCUUAACACAUGCAAGUCGAGCGGGCGUAGCAAUACGUCAGCGGCAGACGGGUGAGUAACGCGUGGGAACGUACCUUUUGGUUCGGAACAACACAGGGAAACUUGUGCUAAUACCGGAUAAGCCCUUACGGGGAAAGAUUUAUCGCCGAAAGAUCGGCCCGCGUCUGAUUAGCUAGUUGGUGAGGUAACGGCUCACCAAGGCGACGAUCAGUAGCUGAUCUGAGAGGAUGAUCAGCCACAUUGGGACUGAGACACGGCCCAAACUCCUACGGGAGGCAGCAGUGGGGAAUAUUGGACAAUGGGCGCAAGCCUGAUCCAGCCAUGCCGCGUGAGUGAUGAAGGCCCUAGGGUUGUAAAGCUCUUUUGUGCGGGAAGAUAAUGACGGUACCGCAAGAAUAAGCCCCGGCUAACUUCGUGCCAGCAGCCGCGGUAAUACGAAGGGGGCUAGCGUUGCUCGGAAUCACUGGGCGUAAAGGGUGCGUAGGCGGGUCUUUAAGUCAGGGGUGAAAUCCUGGAGCUCAACUCCAGAACUGCCUUUGAUACUGAGGAUCUUGAGUUCGGGAGAGGUGAGUGGAACUGCGAGUGUAGAGGUGAAAUUCGUAGAUAUUCGCAAGAACACCAGUGGCGAAGGCGGCUCACUGGCCCGAUACUGACGCUGAGGCACGAAAGCGUGGGGAGCAAACAGGAUUAGAUACCCUAGUAGUCC
rnacentral:rRNA from 1 species